UAACACCAGCGCCACGAGUGGGAGCCACUAUUAUUGGGUCUAAAGCGUCCGUAGCAGGUUCUGUAAAUUACUUGUGAAAUUGAGUAGCUUAACUAUUCAGAUUGCAGGUAACACUGCAGAACUAGAGACCGGGAGACGUUGGAGGUAUUCAGGGGGGAGCGGUAAAAUGCGAGAAUCCCCUGAGGACCACCUGUUGCGAAGGCGUCCAACAAUAACGGGUCUGACUGUGAGGGACGAAAGCUAGGGGAGCGAACCGGAUUAGAUACCCGAGUAGUCCUAGCCCUAAACUUUGUGAGUUAGGUGUUGCAUAAUCUCCGGGAUUAUGCAGUAUCGUAGGGAAGCCGUUAAACUCACCACCUGGGAAGUACGGCCGCAAGACUG
rnacentral:rRNA from 1 species